rnacentral:rRNA from 1 species
UAUUGGUCAAUGGACGAGAGUCUGAACCAGCCAAGUAGCGUGAAGGAUGACUGCCCUAUGGGUUGUAAACUUCUUUUAUAUGGGAAUAAAAUGAGUUACGUGUAGCUUUUUGUAUGUACCAUAUGAAUAAGGAUCGGCUAACUCCGUGCCAGCAGCCGCGGUAAUACGGAGGAUCCGAGCGUUAUCCGGAUUUAUUGGGUUUAAAGGGGGCGUAGGGGGGUUGUUAAGUCAGGUGUGAAAGUUUGCGGCUUAACCGUAAAAUUGCAGUUGAUACUGGCAUUCUUGAGGACAGGAGAGGUGGGCGGAAUUCGUGGUGUAGCGGUGAAAUGCUUAGAUAUCACGAAGAACUCCGAUUGCGAAGGCAGCCUGCUGGACUGUAACUGACGCUGAUGCUCGAAAGUGUGGGUAUCAAACAGG